rnacentral:rRNA from 1 species
ACCUACGGGGGGCAGCAGUAGGGAAUUUUCGUCAAUGGGCGCAAGCCUGAACGAGCAAUGCCGCGUGAACGAGGAAGGUCUUCGGAUCGUAGAGUUCUGUUGAAGGGGAAAAAGAGCGGAGAGAGGAAAUGGUCUCCGAUUGAUAUUACCCUUCGAGGAAGUCACGGCUAACUACGUGCCAGCAGCCGCGGCAAUACGUAGGUGGCGAGCGUUAUCCGGAAUGAUUGGGCGUAAAGGGUGCGUAGGCGGCCUGCUAAGUCUGGAGUGAAAGGUACCGGCUCAACCGGUAUAGGCUCUGGAAACUG